rnacentral:lncRNA from 1 species
AUCAGUUCACACGAUUAUUUAACAUUGCAUAUACGUAACUGGAUUUGGAUGGGGGCAUCAUCGGGAAACUGGGAAACUGGGAAACUGGGAAACCAACAUUAGGAAAGUUGAAGAUGAUGCGAUCGAAUCUCUGGGAAAUGAGAAAGGAAUGUUGGCUCAUCUCUUUUACAUCCACCCCGUACAACACCAAGCAGCCUCUUUCUUCAGGUUCUCUCACAUUACUCGAUCCAUUUCCAUAUUCGUUACUUAAAAUCCUCUGCGUCAAACAGACCAUUGUCAUCUCUUUACCCAGAAUAUAUACGUAUAUAUAUAUACACACUCAGGAACUAAUGUAUCUGUCCAGAGAUUAUUGAUAUCAUGUUUUUAUCAGAAAACCCAUCAGCCAAAAACAUUUGAUGGAAAACCCACGAAUGAAAUUUCUUCAGCAAGCAUAUAUAUAUAUAUAUAUGUAUAUAUAUAUAUAUAUAUAUAUAUAUAUGAUAUUAGACACUUAAGGUAUCUGCCCAGAGAUAAAAUGAUAUUAUGUUUUUAUCAAAAACCCAUCUGCAAAAUCUAUUUUGAUGGAAAACCCAGAGAGGAAAUCUAUUCAUGUUUGAGAAAUAGUAGGAAGAAAAAGAAGAAAGGAAAAACCUUCGCCCUAUCAAGGCAAGUGACACCAUGUAUAUGUACACAUACUAAUGUGUCAGUGGAUAUAAUAUCAUGUUUUUAUCAAAAGCCCAUCUGCGAAAUCCAUUCUGGUGGAAAACCCAGGAAGAAAAUCCAUUCAGGUUUGAGAAAAUAGAAAAAAGAAAAGAAAAACAACCUUGGGUAUCAAGGCAAGUGGCACCAUAUAUAUACACAUACUAAUGUGUCGGUGGGAAGGUGAAAUAAUACCAUGCUUUUAUCAAAAACCCAUCUGUGAAAUCCAUUUUGAAGGCAAACACAGGAAGGAAAUCUAUUCAGGUUUGAGAAAAUAGAAAGAAAGAAAAGAAAAAUAACUUGGGUCUCAAGGCAAGUGCCGCCAAUGUUUCCUGCGAAGCCAAAAGCUCUGGCCGAGCAGAGGGAAAAAGAGAAGUCUCCUUCUCCAACCAAUAAAACCAGAUGCUUUGAUGAGUAAUGAUUUUUCCAUUUUUCUACUUCGUUUUCCUCUGGUGAUUUUACUUCUUCGUCUUAUUUCCCCAUUAACCAUUGUUUGGUCUUCCUGCCUCUUUUUCUCUUCAUCUGUGAUGGGGGAAUUCCUGUUUGUGCCACCAUUCAUAUAUGAAUGAUUUUUGUUUGUUUAUUUUCAUGAAAAAAAAUCACAGAUGAGCUAUAAUAAAUACAUAAGUAUGAUUAUUGUAUAUUUUACAUUUUACUAGCUCUUCUGUGAUUCUUUUUCGUAAAACACUUUUAUACAUAUGUCAUGCACCACAGAUUAUGCGUAAUGGAAAAAACUUUUAUACAUUUAAGAGUAUACAAGUUAAUUUAGAGUAGAAAGAGGUACGCUACGUAGUUGAGAAAUUAAAAAAUCGAGAUGACAAAUACCUGCUUGGAAAAAGCAAAAAAUUUAAAAUUAAUGGAAUUCCUGUUAGUCUAGGGCUUGUUUAAUUUUCGUUUCCUAUAGCCUUAUAUAUGUAUAUGUAUGUGUGUUUUAGAUUAGUAUAGUCAUAUAUUAUGCCAUGAAACUAAGAUAACUUUUGGUGGUUAUUUACGACAAUCUAUACAUGCAUAAUGUACAUGUAUAAUACAGAUAUCUGGUCAUUAGAUGAUUAAUAAGCAAGUCAUACACCAAACUAAUAUCAUUUUAGAUUAAAUAUAUAUUAAUAUGCCUUUUGUAUAAAAUCUUUACACAAAGAUUGAUAUUAACCAGUUUGGAUGGUUCAAGAUCUUGAAAGAUUUUGUAGUUGAUCUUGAAUAUACAACUACAAUUAGAAUAUACUGGUUAUUGUUUAGAACGAGCGUAGGAGAUGAAUGGUUAAGAUUAUUGAACAAUGAUAAAGCAUGCUGAGAAGCUGUUGAACAUUGCAAUGAUGGAGAUGUUAUAAUGAGUAUGUUUCUACUGUAUCAAUUUAUAAUGAGAAAAUAGAUUUUAUUAAGUUGAAACGAGUCGGAGGGAUAAUUUAAAGACAUUAGAGGAGUGUACACUGAGAAUGAUGAUGUGAAAAUGAGAGAGACCACAAAAGAUAUCAGAAAUCUUACUUACAGCCAUUUAUAAGAUAAUAACGUAACUGCAUGCAUCAAGUAAAAAGUGUAUAGAAAUAGCAUCAUUGAUGACUGGGGUAAUAAUUUAACUUGUAGAAUUCAGGGAGUUAUUUGAGGAGUGAUGAAUAGUCGUGAUGACGAGAUAUAUAUAUAUAUAUAUAUAUAUACACACACACACAUGAGCUUCUGCAAGUUAAAGUUGGGAGAUUAUGAGUUGAUUAAAUUUCUGAAAAAUGAAAAAAAAUAUGGAAGAAAGUGAAGAGAAAAAAAUGCAGGAAAAAUAAGAGUUUUCUGAUGUUGGAAAAGUGUUUAAUGACCUACACUUUUCCAUUAAUUUGAUACAUGUAUAUAUAUAUAUAUAUAUAUAUGUAUAUACAAGAUGGAGGGAAAAAUUUACAGAUUAAAUCACCAAUGAAUUCUACCAACUCUUAAGCAGAUCAUCAUUAAAUCAGAAAAGUAAAGGAGCUCAAUUUCUAUUUGACAGCUUACUACCUAAAGCUGUCAAUACUAAAAAAAGAAUAGUAAACAGAUAAUUCUGGAGUUGAAAUAACAAAAGAGUCAGCUCAUUGUUCCAUGGAAGACUCAAUCUUUAACGAGAUCACUGUCAAGCUUGAACUUAAAAGUUCUUGAAAGGCUGAGCUUAAAUUUACGGGUUAGAAAAGUCACCGCUGCCUCUUUUGUUGUGGUAACCAGGGUAAUUGUCUUUGCAGAAAGGAACCUUCUCAUGCAAAGCCAGACUUUUCCUCUCUGCGUUCUCCACUAAUCCCCAACAGUUGUAAGGAUAUCCUUCCUUGUGGCUUCGCAUGAAUCUCACCUUCAUCCUCUUUCAGUAGAACUCUAGC